CAGCAGCCUCCCUGAAAAGGCAGCUCGCCUCUGACCCAUGGCUCAAAACUUGAAUAACCAUGCCUGGUAUUACAAGCUUUAAGAUUAAUUGCACUGAACUUGAUACAUAUCGUACAGCACCUUGAAAAUGAAUCAUCCACUAAAUCAGUAUUUUCUAAUUACAAUCCCUCCCUCUCGGGGCAUGUAAUUAAUUCAGUGAGUUUAAAAAAAAAAAAAA
rnacentral:lncRNA from 1 species